GUGUCAGCAGCCGCGGUAAUACGAGGGGUGCAAGCGUUGCUCGGAAUUAUUGGGCGUAAAGGGUAGGUAGGUGGUCUCGUUUGUCAGGGGUGAAAGCCUUGGGCUUAACUCAAGAAGUGCCCCUGAAACGGCGAGACUCGAGUUCUGGAGAGGGUCGUGGAAUUCCCGGUGUAGCGGUGAAAUGCGUAGAGAUCGGGAGGAACACCAGAGGCGAAGGCGGCGACCUGGACAGAUACUGACACUCAACUACGAAAGCGUGGGGAGCAAACAGGAUUAGAAACCCGCGUAGUCC
rnacentral:rRNA from 1 species